rnacentral:misc_RNA from 1 species
GGUGAAGAACGUAGCGAAAUGCGAUACUUGGUGUGAAUUGCAGAAUCCCGUGAACCAUCGAGUCUUUGAACGCAAGUUGCGCCUCAAGCCAUUAGGUUGAGGGCACGUCUGCCUGGGCGUCACAUAUCGUUGCCUGAUGCCAGUUUCCUCGUGAUGGGUGACUGUGCAGGGCGAAUGAUGGCUUCCCGUGAGCAUUGUUGCCUCAUGGUUGGUUGAAAAUUGAGUCCUUGGUAGGGAGCGCCGUGAUAGAUGGUGGUUGAGUGACGAACGAGACCCAAUCAUGUGAGACCCCUACCGAAUUUGGCCUUCAUGACCCACAUGCGUCUUUGGAACGCUCAUGACGAGACCUCAGGUCAGGCGGGGCUACCCGCUGAGUUUAAGCAUAUCAAUAAGCGGAGGA